AUUGAACGCUGGCGGCAGGCUUAACAAAUGCAAGUCGAGCGAGCGGCGGACGGGUGAGUAAUGUAUGGGAAACUGCCUGAUGGAGGGGGAUAACUACUGGAAACGGUAGCUAAUACCGCAUACCAUCAGAUGUGCCCAGAUGGGAUUAGCUAGUAGGUGGGGUAAUGGCUAACCUAGGCGACGAUCCCUAGCUGGUCUGAGAGGAUGACCAGCCACACAGGAACUUAGACACGGUCCAGAGUCCUACGGGAGACAGCGGUGGGGAAUAUUGAACGAUGGGCGCAAGCCUGAUGCAGCCAUGCCGCGUGUGUGAAGAAGGCCUUGGGGUUGUAGAGCACUUUCAGCGAGGAGGCGUUGCUCGCAGAAGAAGCAACGGCUAGCUCCGUGCCAGCAGCCGCGGUAAUAC
rnacentral:rRNA from 1 species